UCCGUAAAUGGAAAAACCUCAUGCUCUGCCA
rnacentral:piRNA from 1 species